rnacentral:rRNA from 1 species
CAAUAAUGCCAUACCACCUGAACACGCCCGAUCUCGUCCGAUCUCGGAAGCUAAGCAGGUCGGGCCUGGUUAGUACUUGGAUGGGAGACCGCCUGGGAAUACCAGUGCUGU